rnacentral:lncRNA from 1 species
AAAAUAGUGAUCAUAACAAGAGACGAUGAGAAGCAGGUGGCGACGGGUGGCGAUAGCGUGGAGGCGGAGCUCCAAGUGGUGGCGAGGAGAUCCAUCGCCACGGCGAUGGGUAAUUGGCGUCAGCGAGAUGAGUUGCCGACAAUGGUGCCUGCAUCCAGCGGCAACCUCGACGACGGCGUGCACGGCCAAGCAGCGGAAGCAGCAUCCACGAGGAGGCCGAUUCACAGCUGCGCGAGAAAAUCGUCAUCCAUGUCGAUGCUGACAACGAGAUGGUCAGCGAUGAGGCUCCACCAUACAAGGAGGUCAGGCGUGAGGGAGGACGGCAUCCACUGGGAUCUACACUGUGACUGA